rnacentral:lncRNA from 1 species
UUUUUGGUCUUUUCAGGGCUGCACUCAUGGCACAUGGAGGUUCCCAGGCUAGGGGUCAAAUCUGAGCUGUAGCUGCUGGCCUAUGCCACAGCCACAGCAGCUCCAGAUCCAAGCCAUGUCUGUGACCUACACCACAGCUCAUGGCAAUGCCUUAACCCACUGAGCAAGGCCAGGAAUUGAACCUGCGUCCUCAUGGAUGCUAGUCAGAUUUGUUUCCACUGAACCACUAUGAGAACUUUGGAGGAAGCAUUCUUAAACAAAGAGACCACUGGCUCUGCUUGGAAUAGUUUACACUAAAAUUUUUAGGGGAAAAAUGACACUUUCAGUAAAACAAAAGAAAACUGUAUCAGUACAUGAUUUUCUAUCACCAACUUAGGAAAAACAAGUGGUAUGGUAGAGCAGUUUUACAAGUGUUAAGCCCAAUUUGGUUUGAUUUUUUCCAUCACAAGUAAUGAAAUAGAGAACACGAUAACUUAAGAGCACCACCCUGGGUCAGUCAAAUAAGGAAUGAACUACACCAAGUUAAACUGUUGCAAGAGCAAUGGGAGGACUCUCCAAAAUAUGUGGCCUGGCUCUAGACACUGGCUUGAUAAAUUUAAGCAACUGAGGAUUUAAAAUAGAGUAGAGAGAGAGAGAACAGUGAAUACUGGGAGGAGGGCACUGAAAAUGCUUAGACUAAACACACCAAAUGAGAAGGAACAUGCACAACUUAGAAUUUUUAAACCCUCACUAUCUGGGGUUGCCUGAAAAAUGAUCUAAAUAAGUAAAAAUUCUAAAAUAUGUAAUACAUUUAAAGAAAUCUUUUUUUUAAGGCUUUCAGAGAAACACAGUGACUAACUGCUGACAAAGUUUAUCCAAGCAUGCUGGACCAGUUUUAAUGAAUAGAUGAGACUGAUUGUAAUUAGCAGCACUCAUCUGUAUAAAAUGAGUAUCUGAUAAUUUAUUUAAAUUGGCUCCCCCCUUCCUUAAAAUGGUCUGUAGAAGUGCUUUCCUUUAGAGUGAAUUAAACUUAAUUUUGUUUAGAGGCUUUUGUGGAUAUAUUGAGAUGUGUUCAAAACCAAAUGGAGGCCUUCUGAGUUAUAAAGAAGAGGUUGAAAAUCAUUUAUUUAUAACCCUAUUAUUGACCUAAGAAAUUUCAAGAUUUUACAAUUAAAGUAAUCAUAAAUUAGAUCAUCAAAUGUUAUGAGAUAUACUGAGUAUAUCUGAAUUAUAGAUUAAACAAAAUGCCAAAUACAUCAAGAGUGAUCAACCAGUAAAUACAGAAAGACAUGACCAGGAAGCACUCCAUCAUUAAUUUUUUGGGCAACAUUAAUUCCAGCCAAAAUUUUGCUAAGCUAGAACUUCAUAGACAAUCACCUUACUUUACUUGCAAUGUAAAAAGUACUAGUUAUUAAAACAUGCCCCCAGGAGUUCCUGUCAUAGCUCAGUGGUUAAUAAAUCCAACUAGGAACCAGGAGGUUGUGGGUUCGAUCCCUGGCCUGCUCAGUGGGUUAAGGAUCCUGCAUUUCGGUAAGCUGUGGUGUAGGUUGUAGUCGUGGCUCAGAUCCCAUGUUGCUGUGGCUCUGGCGUAGGCCAGGGGCUAUAGCUAUGAUUCGAUUCCUGGCCUGGGAACCUCCAUAUGCCGCUGGUUCGGCCCUAGAAGGACAAUACAACAAAACAAAAACAUGCCCCCAAAAAGGUAGGUUAGUAAAAUUACUAAAGCAAUUUUUAUCUUUAGAAAAUAACUUUUAUUCAUUUUGUAACAACAGACUUUCAUAGAGAAAGGUCACAUAAUAUAAAAGAUGUAGAAAUGUGAAAUGAUGUAUUACCUCAAAUGCUACCACCUAGAAAUAACCAUUAUUGACAUUCUUUCAUAAUGACUCUUUUAGAUAUUUAUAUACAAAAAGAAACACAUAAGGAUACAUUACUAGGAAAAUGUCUUAUAUAAUGUUCUGCGAUCUUUUUUUUUAUUUGUCCUCCACUCAACAAUAUGUUCUGGGCAUCUUUUCAAAUAAAUUAAUUCUACAUCAUUAUUUCAAUGGAACUACAGAAUCCAAUUAAAAAUGAGCCAUCAUUCAAUUAAAUUAUACUUGAUGAACAUCUAGGUUGUUUUAUUAUAAUUCCUAUUAUAUAGCAUUCUGCUGUGAAUGCUAUUAUAGCUUUUUACCGCUAUAAUAGUAGCUAUAGUAACUUUAGAACUGAAAUUGCUAGGUCAAAUCCAUGCAUAAUUAGCAUUGGAAUAUAUUGUAUAUUAGUGCACAAGAGUGGCCCCUUCUUCAAAUCUUUGUGCAAUUUGUUAAGUGAACAAUGGUCGUUUCUCUCUUCCUUUGCCCCUUACUCUGCUCCCUCUCUCCAACCCUCUUUACCUACUACUCUCUCUCUCUCUCUCAUUCCCUCUCUUCUGGUCUUUACUAGUCGAUUGCCAAUUCAGAUUCUUUGCCAAUUUUUAGCUUUUGUCGAUUGUCUAUUCAGAUUCUUUGCCAAUUUUUAUAUUGAGAUUACUAUUUUUCACUCUUAUUGAUGGGUGAGAGCCUUUAUAUAUUAAUGAGAAAAAUGCUUUAUUCAUGAUGUUAUUGUAAAUACUCUAAAUUAAUUCUCAUUUUAUUUCAAAUUUACCAUACAUCAUUCUUUUGUCCCUAAGAAGUUUUGUGGAAUAUGUGAUUACUUCGCACAUCUUUUCCUUUAUUGCUUCUAAUUCUUGUAAUAUUACCAGAAUGAGCUUUUUUACGCAAAGAUUUUAUAUUUUAUCUUGAAGUUUUUCUGAUUCUAUUUAAUUUUACAUUUCAGCCUUUCAUGCAUCUUUACGUUGAGCCUAACCCAAGGCCUUAAGUCUAAUAUAAGACAGGGAUUUAGCUUUUCUUUCUUCCUGAUAGCUAGUCAGCUCACACAAUUUAGUGAAUAAUAUACCUUUUUCUGAAAUUUGAAAAGCCCUUUUUGUCAUAUAUGACAUUCUCAUACUUUUGAGCCUUAGACGCUCUGUUCUACGGAUUCAUUGUAUCAAUUAAACCACACUGUUUUAAGAAUUGAAGUUCUAUAACAGAUUUAUUAACUGAUUAAAAAAACAUAUGCUUUAUUUUUUAUUUUUGAAAUCUUUCUUAAGGUAUAUAUGUAUCUGUGAAACAUAUUCUUCCAGUUAAAAACUUCCAAUUAAGAAACUGACCUGAUGAUUUAAUAGUUAUUUUUCUGUGCUUAUGAUGUCUUGACAUAGACAGGUUAUUCUAUUCAUUCUUCUUCACCAAGACAAAUCAUUGAAUAUAUAAAGAUACAGGCAAUAAAAAGCAGGCAUAUAUGCGUUUUCUUGUUUACUUGCUAUUCCCUUCUUUAACUCAUCCUUUAGUGGACUUAUACCUUUUUAAAGAUACUACAAUUAAGGCAUUCUUACCCAUUAUACUUCUCUCCUGUUUGAAAGCAAGAUUUGACCCAGGUUAUUUCAGAGCAUGGCCCCUCCUAGUGAUCUGGGCUUUGCAUUGGAAUACUUUUUGUCUUCCUUUCUCAGUCUCCCUGAAUGAAAUAGCAAGAGAGAUCUUUCUGGAGGAGCAUCUUUCUCUGAAGUGACAAGGAAGCAGCAUCUCUCACAGCUGGCAAUGCAUGCCUGCAUAAUACUUGGAUGCCAGAAGUGCUCUUGAAGAACAAACAGGCAACCUGUUUCUUCCUCAAGCAGCAGCAAAAGCUGUCAAAACCACAGGUGCACCAGGCACCACCCCUCCAUCAAGCUGUUUACAUUCCUCUUUCAGUCUAGCAUUUGGCAGCUGAGGUUGAUUCUGGCCUUGGCAGCAGAGACAAUAUAUCUCUGAGGAUUUAAGUCAUACAGAUGGUGAUGGAAUUUAGCAGUUUAAUGUUUGUCUCCCACAAUGCUAUGGUGUCAAAGACCCUGGGCCAGGUAGUGCAGUAUUUUUAUUAACAACAACAACAACAAAAGAAUAGAUAGGGUCAUACAAGCCAAUUAUGCAUUUUCCAUCCCUGCUCCAGGUCUUUAUAUUCUUGCUUUGAACUAGACAGCCUAGGCAUCAUAACUGAUAAUUGGUAGCUAUGGAGCUAAAAGGAAGAAUAGAAUGAGAUGUACUUACUCUUCCUUUAAAAGUAUAUUGAGGGGAAUUCCCGUUGUGGCGCAGUGGUUGACGAAUCCGACUAGGAACCACGAGGUUGCAGGUUCGAUCCCUGCCCUUGCUCAGUGGGCCAAGGAUUGAACCCACAUCCUGAUGGAUACUAGUCAGAUUUGUUUCCUAUGCACCAUUAUGGGAACUCCCAAGAACUGUGUAUUUUUAAAAAGCAUUCAUUUUCCCUACAGAUGUAAUACCAUAUCUGUAUUCAAAUUUUAUAACAUUCUUUACAAUGCAAGCAAUUCUGCUUGAAAAUAACCUGACCAUAAUUUGAUUCAAAGUGUCAGAAUGAAAUAUAAAUAUAUGAAGUGAACUCUCCAUAUUUUUAGUACUAUAUCAAAUUUUGUUAAUUAACUCAACAAAAUUUAUCAUGAAAUAGAAAAUAAUGUAUAUGCUUAACAGUCAAAUGAUGUUAUUGCUUUAAUAAUAGCUUAUCUGAAGCCAAAAAUGAAUAAAUUGCUUGUUCCAGGAUAUUUUUUCUUUAUUACAGAUGACAAAACUCAACAUAGUGGAGCCCUAUACUCUAUUUUGGUUAAUCAAAAUGUAUACUCAAUUCUUUAAGUGACUUCCUGAUUUGGCCUUGUUACUUUAGCAAAGAUUUUUUUUUUCUUUUAAAAUCAGUUCAUGCAAAUGUACUAAAAUAAGAAAUCCUAAUUUUCACUAAUUUUAGUGACAAUACAUUUUUUUCCAACCCUACCAGGGUAUUUAAAUGUUUUCUUUACAAACCAACUUUAAAAAGAUAAUACUUCCAUUCCCACAUCAUUUGAACCAAUCUAUGCUUCUUUAUCAGGCUUUAUCACUAUAUCACCAUCUUGUUUCUUCAUUAAUUAAACUACUUUCUGAGGAGUUUGAAUCUUUUACUAUAAUCUAUCUCCAAUUCAUGCUUACUAGGUUCAGCUAUAAUAUGCUGGACUCACUGAGGGUUCGGGGUUUUAUGCAAUCCAUAACCCAAAUACAAUAUUCAAUAUUAUAUUCAUAAAAUACAAUGUAUGGCAUUAGGGACUUAGAAAUCCACCAACAAUUUUUCUGUCAAAUACACAUCUUACAUUAUAAGAUUUUAUGCCAUCAGGGGAUUUUGAAUCUAUGGCUUGCAUUCUGUCUGUGAAGCUGUGCUCUCCAUCUAAGUAGAUGAGCCAAAAUCCAAUAGUAAGAUGUUGCCAUGGUAAGACAGCAGACACUACUACUUUAGAGGCUGAGCCCUAGGCUAGCCCUCCAUCAAAAUCAAAGCACAUAGCAGCUGUCCCUAACCAGCGUGGCUCAUAGAUUGUUUCUGCUCAACCAAAAUCAGGAAAAACAUAGACGUUUCCAAGGCUCUAGAGAGAACAGAAUGCUAUAAUUAACACUUCUGGCCUGGUCUCUUCCUUUACCAGAUACAUAUAUGAUCUUGGGCCUUAAAAAUAUAUUAAAUGUUCCUUAAGGGUUGCUUGACCCUGCUGAGGCUUAUCUAAUCAGAGAGGUAUGGGAAGGCCCAUCACAGGGCAAUCUUAGGUGAGGAGAUGAGCUCUCCUGGCCUCAUCUCUGAUUCAUAAAUUCGUCUUGAGAUUCCCAAGUCAACACAGAAGGCUCUUUACCCUGUCUAACAGGUGGUUACUUGAGCCAAAUCUGGACUCCUAGGGUAAUACAGUCAACAAAAGGCCAAUGUGGGCCUACCCAUGAAACUUCCAGUCCAAUUUAAAGCACAUUAUUAAAAAAAAAAAGUGAUCAGCAUGAACUUAGGAAGUGGCAAUGCUACAUGAGACCACUCUGUCAACCCUCAGUAGUUAGAGAACUUUAGCAAAUGUGCAUGAUACAGCUCAUACACAAGCCCCCAUUCCAGAGAACUGGCUAGCACAGAAGGUGGAGGAAAAGGGACUCUAUACAAACAUAGACCCUCCAGUGGGUCUCUCCCAUAACCUUGAGUUUUAUCCAGAAUGUAGAGGGUCACUGAAGCCAUGAGCUUAUUUCACAGACACCCACAUAUCUCGUAGACUUUGACAGGGGCAAUAAAUUCAGCUGCUACACUACUAGGACACAGCAAUUAGUGCUAUGAUAAGAUAGAUGAGUAGGUCCUGGGAUGUGGUUUCUUUAAAAACAAAACAAAACAAACAAUAAAAACCCUCCUUGUUUUAAAGAAAGGAUUACUGAGGGGAGAAUGGGUAUUCCCAAUUUAUAAGCUUUGACUCAGAGAGCAACUGCCUCAUUCCUUAGAACUGCUGAUCAAGCAUCAUUACUCUCAUAGCUAUUAGGGAAAUGGAAUCAAAUCCCCUCUGGGGUGGUAGUAUACAAACUUCUCCCUGUACUUCUGGUGGAACUGACUGAUUAUAAUCUACUUUCAAAAGAUAAAGUGUUUUUGUAAGCAGCUCUUUGCAGGAAACCACCCUCAGCAGAAAACCUCUUUCCUUGUCACUUUAGCAAAGUGAUAUUGUAACUCCAUUUUAAACCAGGCACCCCCAUGGUGUACUCAUUUCUGGCCCAAGUGCACCUUUCAAAUAUUUUAAUCACACGCUUCACCUAAUGUGUCGGUUCUUUCCAUAGAUCAAAGAAGU